rnacentral:rRNA from 1 species
AGUGAACGUUGGCGGCGUGGAUUAGGCAUGCAAGUCGAGCGAGAACCGUAGCAAUACGGGGACAGCGGCGAAAGGGACAGUAAUGUGUAGGUACCUACCUCCGGGUUCGGGAUAGCUGCGGGAAACUGCAGGUAAUACCGAAUAACGUCUCCGGACCAAAGGUGUGAUUCCACCUGGAGAGGGGCCUGCAUCCUAUUAGCUAGUUGGGGAGGUAACGGCUCACCAAGGCGACGAUGGGUAGCGGGUGUGAGAGCACGACCCGCGUCAUUGGGACUGAGAAAGUGCCCAGACACCAACGGGUGGCUGCAGUCGAGAAUCUUCGGCAAGGGGCGCAAGCCUGACCGAGCGACGCCGCGUGCGGGAUGAAGGCCUUCGGGUUGUAAACCGCUGUCGUAGAGGAGGAAAUGCAGGGGGGUUCUCCCCUCUGUUUGACCUAUUCUAGGAGGAAGGACGGGCUAAGUUCGUGCCAGCCGCCGCAGUAA